rnacentral:rRNA from 1 species
CUAUUAAAGAAUUUCGGUCAUCGAUGGGGAUGCGUUCCAUUAGGUUGUUGGCGGGGUAACGGCCCACCAAGCCUUCGAUGGAUAGGGGUUCUGAGAGGAAGGUCCCCCACAUGGGAACUGAGACACGGUCCAAACUCCUACGGGAGGCAGCAGUGAGGAAUAUUGGUCAAUGGACGAGAGUCUGAACCAGCCAAGUAGCGUGAAGGAUGACUGCCCUAUGGGUUGUAAACUUCUUUUAUACGGGAAUAAAGUGAGGCACGUGUGCCUUUUUGUAUGUACCGUAUGAAUAAGGAUCGGCUAACUCCGUGCCAGCAGCCGCGGUAAUACGGAGGAUCCGAGCGUUAUCCGGAUUUAUUGGGUUUAAAGGGAGCGUAGGCGGACGCUUAAGUCAGUUGUGAAAGUUUGCGGCUCAACCGUAAAAUUGCAGUUGAUACUGGGUGUCUUGAGUACAGUAGAGGCAGGCGGAAUUCGUGGUGUAGCGGUGAAAUGCUUAGAUAUCACGAAGAACUCCGAUUGCGAAGGCAGCCUGCUGGACUGUAACUGACGCUGAUGCUCGAAAGUGUGGGUAUCAAACAGGAUUAGAUACCCUGGUAGUCCACACAGUAAACGAUGAAUACUCGCUGUUUGCGAUAUACAGUAAGCGGCC